rnacentral:rRNA from 1 species
GAUGAACGCUGGCGGCGUGCUUAAUACAUGCAAGUCGAACGGAAAGGCCCUGCUUUUGUGGGGUGCUCGAUUGGCGAACGGGUGAGUAACACGCGAGUAACCUGCCCCUGACUUUGUGAUAACUUCAGGAAACUGGGGCUAAUACCGGAUAGGAUCUCCUGCUGCACGGUGGGGGUUGGAAAGUGUCGGCUGUUGUGGCUGGACUCGCGGCUUAUCAGCUUGUUAGUGAAGUAGUGGCUUACGAAGGCUUAGACGGGUAGCCGGCCUGGGAGGGGAACCGGCGUCAAUGGGACUAAGAUAGGGACCAGUCGCGAACGGGAGGCAGUAGGGGGGAGUAUUACGGAACGGGCGGGAGCGUGAGGUAGCGACGCCGCGUGCGUGAUGACGUCCUUCGGGUUAUAAACCACUUUGGACUGUGACGAAGAGUGAGUGACGGUAAUGGGUAAGGAAGCAACGGCUAACUACGUG